GAACGCUGUUUGUAAAUGAACUGUUUGUGAUUAUACCACGGUUUAUUUCCCUUUGGCUGUAC
rnacentral:sRNA from 1 species